AUUCCUGAUGGCAAAGACUAGCCCCCAAAACAAAAAACCACAUGGAUCCUUGUUUUAUUUUCAUGACACCUCAAGAUGACCGAGUACGGAGCACAUUUGGUCACCUAAAAUAUAUUAUUGAAACUAAUCUCGCCAGUUUCUUUUGAUUUUUAUUAAUGUGGCUACUAGAAAAUGUGUAAUUGUGUUUACAGCUCGCACACACGGAGGUCACGUGGUGCCUUGGCUGCAGGGGACGGAAGAGCAGAGACACAGAGACAUGAACACAGAGGCUCCAGCUGGAGGAAGACCAGGCCAGUGCUCUGCUCCAAGUCACCUGGUCCCCGGAUGCCAGCCUUGGCCCCCAGCCAGUGGUGGGGAUGCAUUGGUGGGUCCACUCCGGGGCAUCCCUGGGAGGCCAGCCGUCUGACCGCUUCCCGAUCCCCUAGACAUCUGGGGGGCAGGGGCACCAGCAGGUGCCCAUCAAGAGAGCCACUAGACUAUUCCUUCCUCUCCAGGCCAACAGCCUCACAGGAAUCACCGAUGUAAAAUGGUCACAGAUACCACAAAUCCAAUCCUCUCUAGUGUGUCAGCAUCACUGAUUGAGCACCUACUGUAUGCCAGCACUGACCCCCACCAUCAGAUCUGAUCCUUGCCAUCGUGACCCAUUGCUGGAAGCCUCGUCCCCAUCUUGUGGCCAUGAGAUCCAGGGUAGUGACACUGACGGCACCCGAGCAGCACACAGGUGUCUCUGUCUUCCCCUCAGUCAGGUGAUAGCAGGCCAGACUGGGCAGAAGCAGAAGGUCCCCAGUCCUGCAGAUGCCCCCACUCACCAGGCCUCAACUUCCCCAUCUGCAAAUGGGUCUGAAGAGAGACCUCACCAUAGCCCCACCCAGAGCAUCGUGCUAGGAAGAGGCAGGCCUCCUCUGAGGCCAAUGUGGUCUCUAACCAACUGAAUGGAAUGCCCUGGAAACAGCUGGGUGUGGGGUAUAGGGGCAUUGGCCCAGACACCCUGAGAUCCCAUCUCCCUUGCACUGCCCUGAGCCAGAAUCUCAAGUUUGCUACAUCCCAUCCACAGAGCUGUACCGUGACACCCAGAGAGCCCAGAGCUCCAGGGCCCCCGCACUGCUCUGGAUGGGAAAGGAAAUGGAUUUGUAAGGAUAGUCAAGGCUUUUUUUUUUUUUCUUUUUUUUACUGUUAAUUGGGUGAGUCUCGCCCCAUUUCCUACAUACACUCGCACACACGCACACUCACAUACCUCUGAUUUCCCAACAAACAAACAAAGCGUCAUCUCUGUUACUGCACAGAAUGUCCUGUUUAGGUUGACAAGAGCCAAAAGGGAUGACCCCAAGCCGUCCCACCAUGAAAUGCAUUUCCAGGAAAAGGUCAAUAGCACAAGUGCCUAACAUACCCCCGACCGGAGAGAGCCCCUGGAGGCCACGUGGGCCCCCAGAACCAUCUGCCAGCCCAUCAAGGGCUGCCUUCCCCACACCGUCCCCCAGGCUCACCCUAAAGCCACCCACCACCCGCUGAGAUCACCCUGACCAGGGAGAGUGACCGGACUGAGUAGAGAAAAAAAACUAAUGUUCCGUGAGGAAAACAAAUCACAGACAAUGCUAAAGGACAAAGGACAAGUUCGGAAAAAUAUGUACAACAUGUAUGGCUGAGAAAGAUUUUAUGGUAUGCAUAUACACAGGCUUCCUUGCAAAAUGUUUAACAUCACAAAAUUGAAAAGUUAAAAGAACACAGAUAUCUCUUUGCC
rnacentral:lncRNA from 1 species